rnacentral:rRNA from 1 species
GUGGGGAAUCUUAGACAAUGGGGGAAACCCUGAUCUAGCCAUGCCGCGUGAGUGAUGAAGGCCUUAGGGUCGUAAAGCUCUUUCGCUGGGGAAGAUAAUGACUGUACCCAGUAAAGAAACCCCGGCUAACUCCGUGCCAGCAGCCGCGGUAAUACGGAGGGGGUUAGCGUUGUUCGGAAUUACUGGGCGUAAAGCGCGCGUAGGCGGAUUGGAAAGUUGGGGGUGAAAUCCCGGGGCUCAACCCCGGAAUUGCCUUCAAAACUCCCAGUCUUGAGGUCGAGAGAGGUGAGUGGAAUUCCGAGUGUAGAGGUGAAAUUCGUAGAUAUUCGGAGGAACACCAGUGGCGAAGGCGGCUCACUGGCUCGAUACUGACGCUGAGGUGCGAAAGCGUGGGGAGCAAACAGGAUUAGAAACCCUUGUAGUCC